CCUGUGAAAAUAGUUGUAGUAGAAAUAUCUGCUCCAGUAGUGUGAGAUAUAGCUAUUCCAGGUGAAGUAACAGUUGUGGUAGUUGAGGAAAACGUUGUGGGAGAAGUUUCAAAAACUGUUGUUUGGGGAGCAGUUGUGGUUGUUUGGGGUGCAGUGGUGGUUGUUUGUUGUACAAUUGAGGUUGUUUGUGGUACAGUGGUGGUUGUUUGGGGAGCAGUUGUGGUUGUUUGGGGUACAGUGGUGGUUAUUUGAGGUACAGUGGUGGUUGUUUGGGGUGCAGCUGUGGUUGUUUGGGGAGCAUUGGUGGUUGUUUGGGGUGCAGUUGAGGUUGUUUGGGCUUCAGUUGUGGUUGUUUGGGGUUCAGUUGUGGUUGUUUGGGGAUCAGCGGUGGUUGUUUGGGGAGCAGUUGUGGUUGUUUGGGGUGCAGUUGUGGUUGUUUGGGCUUCAGUUGUGGUUGUUUGGGGAGCAGCGGUGGUUGUUUGGGGAGCAGUUGUGG